UAUUAGGCUACUACACUAAGUAUCUAAGCAUAUGGUUAUUUCAUUUCAGGUCCAGUAUGAGGUGAGGUGUGUCAAUAAAAUAAUACAAAAUAAAUUCCAAAAGGGAAUAAUGUGGCAUAAAAACAUGAGUGUGAAUGUGUAAAUGUAUGUAACUGUAUAAGUAAACUACUUAUAUAUCUAA